UUUUAAUUUAUUUUCAGAGGAAAGGUCGCCCCCCUGGUGCAGUUGUACAGUACGACAGACCAGCCCAGUACAGCACUGCAACAAAACCCAAAGUGUCCGAGCCAAUAAGGCGGGAAGGACCUAAGUGGGACCCAUCCAGACUGACUGAGAACAGCACAUUCGUUCUGGGAUCCAGGGCAAAUAAG